rnacentral:lncRNA from 1 species
GAUACUCUUCGUAUGAUCUUCUUCUUCGCAGGUACUCUCUACCUAUCAUUUAUGCUUUCUCUGAUUUUGAUUGGGUUUAUAAUGAUGAUGAGUACACAUUCAUCAAUGUUUUAUAUUGUAUUUCUUGGUCAUAGCCCAAUUUCUUAGUUGUUCAGAAAGCAACUAACUUUGGCUCAAUCUUCCAUUAAGAUUGAUAAAGGGUUGUUGCGUCGAUUGUUUAUGAGGUUAUUUAGAUUAAAGCACUUCAAGAACUUUUCCAAC